GAUGAACGCUAGCGGCAGGCCUAACACAUGCAAGUCGAACGGGACCUUCGGGUCUAGUGGCGCACGGGUGCGUAACACGUGGGAAUUUGCCUCGGGGUAUGGAAUAACUCAGGGAAACUUGAGCUAAUACCAUAUAAUGUCUUCGGACCAAAGAUUUAUCGCCCUGAGAUAAGCCCGCGUAGGAUUAGCUAGUUGGUGAGGUAAAGGCUCACCAAGGCGACGAUCCUUAGCUGGUCUGAGAGGAUGAUCAGCCACACUGGGACUGAGACACGGCCCAGACUCUACGGAGGCAGCAGUGGGAAUAUUGGACAAUGGGCG
rnacentral:rRNA from 1 species